rnacentral:rRNA from 1 species
UACGUAGGGUGCGAGCGUUGUCCGGAAUUAUUGGGCGUAAAGGGCUCGUAGGCGGUUUGUCGCGUCGGGAGUGAAAACCCAGGGCUUAACCCUGGGCUGGCUUCCGAUACGGGCAGACUAGAGGUAUGCAGGGGAGAACGGAAUUCCUGGUGUAGCGGUGAAAUGCGCAGAUAUCAGGAGGAACACCGGUGGCGAAGGCGGCUUUCUGGACAAAUACCGACGCUGAGGCACGAAAGCUAGGGGAGCAAACAGG